CUACGUGCCAGCAGCCGCGGUAAUACGUAGGGUGCGAGCGUUAAUCGGAAUUACUGGGCGUAAAGCGGGCGCAGACGGUUACUUAAGCAGGAUGUGAAAUCCCCGGGCUCAACCUGGGAACUGCGUUCUGAACUGGGUGACUAGAGUGUGUCAGAGGGAGGUAGAAUUCCACGUGUAGCAGUGAAAUGCGUAGAGAUGUGGAGGAAUACCGAUGGCGAAGGCAGCCUCCUGGGAUAACACUGACGUUCAUGCUCGAAAGCGUGGGUAGCAAACAGGAUUGGAUACCCUGGUAGUCCACGCCCUAAACGAUGUCAAUUAGCUGUUGGGCAACUUGAUUGCUUAGUAGCGUAGCUAACGCGUGAAAUUGACCGCCUGGGGAGUACGGUCGCAAGAUUAAAACUCAAAGGAAUUGACGGGGACCCGCACAAGCGGUGGAUGAUGUGGAUUAAUUCGAUGCAACGCGAAGAACCUUACCUGGUCUUGACAU
rnacentral:rRNA from 1 species